CGGGGAGCCAUGGAGGUUUCAGCAGGGGGUUCAUGGUCUGAUUUGUAUUUUAGGGGCAAGAGAAGACAGAAGAGGCUCAGGGAGGAGGCCUGACAACAAGUGCUGGGACACAAUGGAGAGCAAGACAGGUGUGGCCCUGCCCUCUGAUGAUGGCUGAUGUGGUCCGUUCUCCUCAGUUGUUUGACUUUGUCUCCACGUUUCAAACUGAGAUUCCCAGGAGUGAGGAUCUGUUUUCCCAGCCUGGACACAGUGUCUGCUCCAGACCUGCUAAACUGCUGGUUUGGAGGGGCUCCCCAAACAGGCCUGGGCUAAGCAGGAGAGUCAUGUGAGGACAGAACAGUGGCCAGCUCUACACAGGUGGGAGGCACAGUUCCUGUUGUGCAGUUGGGGAAACCGACACCCGCAGGAGUACAGCGAUGUGCUGAGAUCUUGCAGCUGGCAAGGUGGAGAUUCAGGGCUUACAUCAUGUUCUCUUGGACUCUGACUCUGUGGUUUUUCCACAGCUCCACUCCCCAGAGCUUUGCCGUGGCUCCCGCAUCUGUUCCACUGCCACACUUAAUUCUGCUGAGAUGACCAGAGCAGGAAGCAGGAAAGCUGACUUCCCUGAAAGAGAACAAGCCUGGGCCAGCCUGCUGGAGGCCGAAAGACCCUGUGGAGCUGAGCUGACUCUGCCCCUCUGUCUUUGCUAUGACCAGCACAGCCAACCCACAGCUGACCCCUGGGCUGACCACAGUUGCACGAGCAAGCCCAGCCCAAAUCAGAAGGUUGUGCAGCUGCAGCCUUGUAAACCCCUUUGACUGGCAUGAAGGAGCUUUGAUGCUUAUGUGGAAACAUUCCUGGCUGAGACCUGAGACCUGUCUUUUCUUUGCACCAGACAAGAGAGACCUCCGAUCUCCUUUUCACAGUACCUCGUGCACCGAGCAUAAGGCCUGGAGCAUGGCAGGAGGUCUGCUGCAGAUCCCAGUUCAGCCAUUCCAGUCCUCAGGUAAGGCUUCCUUGGUCUCCUUCAAAUCUCCCCACUUCUUCACUGCAUGUGUAAGCUCACACUUCUUUGUGUGACGUAUUGAUUAGUGUCUGUCUCUCCCUCUAGACUGUGAGCCUUAUCAGGCAGGGACCAGUAUGGUUUUGCUUAAUUUCCCUAACACAGUGGCUGUCCCACUGUAGGUGCUCAACAAAAGUGUCAAUAAAUAAGCGGAUGCUGUCCCUGCAGGGUUUUCUCUGAUUCGUGUGCUUCUCUCCCAAGACAGGCUUCCCCCAAGGGCUGGAAUCUGCCUCAGCCAUC
rnacentral:lncRNA from 1 species